GACGAACGCUGGCGGCGUGCUUAACACAUGCAAGUCGAACGGAAAGGCCCUGCUUUCGUGGGGUGCUCGAGUGGCGAACGGGUGAGUAACACGUGAGUAUCCUGCCCUUGACUUUGGGAUAACUUCAGGAAACUGGGGCUAAUACCGGAUAGGAGCUCCUGCUGCAUGGUGGGGGUUGGAAAGUUUCGGCGGUUGGGGCUGGACGCGCGGCUUAUCAGCUUGUUGGUUGGGUAGUGGCCUACCAAGGCAUUGACGGGUAGCCGGCCUGGGAGGGUGGCCGGCCACAUUGGGACUGCGAUACGGCCCAGUGUGCAACGGGGGGCAGCAGUGGGGAAUCUUGCACAAUGGGCGGAAGCGUGAUGCAGCAACGCCGCGUGCGGGAUGACGGCCUUCGGGGUGUGAACCGCUUUCGCCUGUGACGAAGCGUUAGUGACGGUAAUGGGUAAAGAAGCACCGGCUAACUACGUG
rnacentral:rRNA from 1 species